AUUGAACGCUGGCGGCAUGCCUUACACAUGCAAGUCGAACGGCAGCACGGGUGCUUGCACCUGGUGGCGAGUGGCGAACGGGUGAGUAAUACAUCGGAACAUGUCCUGUAGUGGGGGAUAGCCCGGCGAAAGCCGGAUUAAUACCGCAUACGAUCUACGGAUGAAAGCGGGGGACCUUCGGGCCUCGCGCUAUAGGGUUGGCCGAUAGCUGAUUAGCUAGUUGGUGGGGUAAAGGCCUACCAAGGCGACGAUCAGUAGCUGGUCUGAGAGGACGACCAGCCACACUGGGACUGAGACACGGCCCAGACUCCUACGGGAGGCAGCAGUGGGGAAUUUUGGACAAUGGGCGAAAGCCUGAUCCAGCAAUGCCGCGUGUGUGAAGAAGGCCUUCGGGUUGUAAAGCACUUUUGUCCGGAAAGAAAUCCUUGGCUCUAAUACAGUCGGGGGAUGACGGUACCGGAAGAAUAAGCACCGGCUAACUACAUG
rnacentral:rRNA from 1 species